GCACUUGUGCAACGGAUAUCAAUGUAUCCCUUGAAGUCUCCGCAAAACGUCAAAUAUGUGCUGAACAUUAUAGAGUCGUCGUUAACCUCAUUUUCUAUUAAAUAGACAAGAAUGAAAGACAUUUUAUGGCAUAUUUCUUGUAACAUAUCCAUCAUAUCAUUCGUGUUCUUUAAGUCUUUUUGGUUGCUUUUGAAAGUGUCUUUGUACUAUUCAAUAUAGUAUUUGUACAAUAUNGCACUAGUGCAACGGAUAUCAGUGUAUUCCUUAAAGUCUGCGCAAAACGUCAAGUACAAGCCGAAUAUUAUCGAGUCGUCGUCAACCUCAUUUUCGUUUAAAUAGACUAGAAUUAAAGACAUUUUAUGACAUAUUUCUUGUAAUAUAUCCAUCAUAUCAUUCGUGUUCUUUAAGUCUUUUUCGGUUGCUUUUGAAAGUUUCUUUGUACUAUUCAAUAAAGUAUUUGUACAAUAUUGUUGGAGUUUCUUUAAUGUAUAAAAAACAAUUUCUUGCAUUGUUUCGAGCUUUGACAAAUCUUUUGACCGAAUAUCAAUAUUUGAUAAAUCGCAAUCAUUCCGAAGUUCAUUUGUAUAAUUUUUAUUGAGUUCCAGAAAAUGUACAUUGUUUUUAGAAUUUAUUUGUAUUUUAUUGUCCCUGGUAAUUAUUUAAGUCACCUUGAAUUUUAUUUCGUUAAUAUGCGAAUUAUGUUCAUUAUAAUGAUAUUUUAGUUUACCGAGAUUUUCACUCAUGCAUGAUAUAAAAUCGAUAUAACCAAUGGUUUCGUAAACAUUUGGAUUGAAAUGUAUACUCUCAUUUUUGUAGUUCGGCUGCCGAAACAGUUUGUCACUAAUAUUUGUCUUAAUUUCCGUCAUUGAUACUAAAGUUGCUAAAUUUUUCUCAAUUGUUUUUUCAACAAGUUGUUUUUCGAUAUUAUAAGGUGACGCAUUGAUAUAUGUCUUGAAAUAGGUUGGUAAUGUAUAACAAAGAACUAUAUGAAUUUUAUUCAACAGAACUGUUAUUGAAUUCUGAAAGACAUUAAUUUUAAUAAAAUCUAAACAUAUCGGGAGAAAUGAACAGAUCUUUAAAAGAUAUUCCAC